ACAAGUUAUUAAGAGCAACGGGCGGAUGCCUUGGCGCUAGAAGGCGAUGAAAGACGUGAUAAGCUGCGAUAAGCGUCGGUGAGGAGCUAAAUAUCCUUUGACCCGGCGAUUUCUGAAUGGGGAAACCCAAUAGGAGUAAUGUCCUAUUACCGUAACAUGAAUCAAUAGUGUUACAGGAGCUAACCGAGGGAAGUGAAACAUCUCAGUACCUCGAGGAAGAGAAAUCAAACGAGACUCCCAAAGUAGCGGCGAGCGAAAUGGGAAUAGGCCAAACCAUUAGGAUUCGUCUUAGUGGGGUUGUAGGGCUAACAUACGUGAUCUUGGAGUAAAUAGAAGAAGCUGGCUGGAAAGCCACACCAUAGAAGGUGAAAGUCCUGUAUUUGAAGUUGAAAAGAGCACAGUUAGUACCUGAGUACUGCGGGGCACGUGAAACCCCGUGGGAAUCUGGGAGGACCAUCUUCCAAGCCUAAGUACUACCUAGCGACCGAUAGUGAACCAGUACCGUGAGGGAAAGGUGAAAAGAACUCCUGUAAGGAGAGUGAAAUAGAAUCUGAAACCUGUUGCUUACAAGCUCUGGGAGCAAUUUUACGAUUGUGACCAGGUGCCUUUUGCAUAAUGAGUCAGCGAGUUAAUCUGUACUGCGAGGUUAAGCGUAAGCGGAGCCGUAGGGAAACCGAGUCUGAUAAGGGCGAAUGAGUAGUGCGGAUUAGACCCGAAACCGGGUGAUCUAUCCAUGAGCAGGUUGAAGCAAGGGUAAAGCCUUGUGGAGGACCGAACCGUCAACGGCUGAAAACGUUCCGGAUGACUUGUGGAUAGGGGUGAAAGGCCAAUCAAACCCGGUGAUAGCUGGUUCUCCCCGAAAUAUAUUGAGGUAUAGCCUCAGGGAUUGUCUAACGGAGGUAAAGCACUGAAAAGGCUAGGGGUCCUACCAGAUUACCAAACCUUAUCAAACUCUGAAUACCGUCUAGAUGUACCCUGGGAGUCAGACAGCGGGUGCUAAGGUCCGUUGUCGAGAGGGUAAGAGCCCAGAUCAACAGCUAAGGUCUCCAAAUACAUACUCAGUGGUAAAGGUGGUGGAGUUGUUUAGACAGCCAGGACGUUGGCUUAGAAGCAGCCAUCGUUUAAAGAAAGCGUAAUAGCUCACUGGUCUAAUGACUCUGCGCCGAAAAUGUAACGGGGCUAAGUAUGUUACCGAAGCUUUGAAUUGCACUUUAUGUGUUCUGGUAGGGGAGCGUUCUCUAAUAGGCUGAAGGUGUAUCGUAAGGUAUGCUGGACGAAAGAGAAGUGAUUAUGCUGACAUGAGUAACGAUAAAAUAGGUGAAAAACCUAUUCGCCGAAAACCCAAGGUUUUCCGGGUAAAGUUAAUCUUCCCGGAGUUAGUCGGCCCCUAAGGUGAGAGCGAAAGCUGUAACUGAUGGGAAACGGGUUAAUAUUCCCGUACUUGUAUGAUUGUGCGAUGGAGGGACGCAGGAAGAUAGACUAUCCAGCUGUUGGAUGCUGGUGCAAGUGUGUAGGUGCAGGAGAUAGGCAAAUCCGUCUCCCGAGACUGAGACACGAGUCCGUGAACGUAAGUUCUGAAGUAGUUGAGUCUAUGCUGCCAAGAAAAUCUUCUAAGUUUAGGUCAUACAAACCGUACUGCAAACCAACUCAGGUGGGUGGGAUGAAUAAUCCAAGGCGCUCGAGAGAAUUCUGGCCAAGGAACUCGGCAAAAUAACCCCGUAACUUCGGAAGAAGGGGUGCUCCUUGCUGUGAUAUAUUUACUUAUAAAGCAGCGAAGAGCCGCAGUGAAUUGGUGGUGGCGACUGUUUACUAAAAACAUAGGUCUGUGCGAAGUCGCAAGACGACGUAUACGGACUGACGCCUGCCCGGUGCUGGAAGGUUAAAAGGAGGGGUUAGCGCAAGCGAAGCUCCGAAUUGAAGCCCCAGUAAACGGCGGCCGUAACUAUAACGGUCCUAAGGUAGCGAAAUUCCUUGUCGGGUAAGUUCCGACCUGCACGAAU
rnacentral:rRNA from 1 species